rnacentral:rRNA from 1 species
CCUACGGGGAGCAGCAGUGGGGAAUAUUGGACAAUGGGCGAAAGCCUGAUCCAGCCAUGCCGCGUGUGUGAAGAAGGCCUUCGGGUUGUAAAGCACUUUCAGUGGGGAAGAAAGCCUUGGGGCUAAUACCCUCGAGGAAGGACAUCACCCACAGAAGAAGCACCGGCUAACUCCGUGCCAGCAGCCGCGGUAAUACGGAGGGUGCGAGCGUUAAUCGGAAUUACUGGGCGUAAAGCGCGCGUAGGCGGUCUGAUAAGCCGGUUGUGAAAGCCCCGGGCUCAACCUGGGAACGGCAUCCGGAACUGUCAGGCUAGAGUGCAGGAGAGGAAGGUAGAAUUCCCGGUGGAGCGGUGAAAUGCGUAGAGAUCGGGAGGAAUACCAGUGGCGAAGGCGGCCUUCUGGACUGACACUGACGCUGAGGUGCGAAAGCGUGGGUAGCAAACAGGAUUAGAUACCCCGGUAGUC